rnacentral:lncRNA from 1 species
UGCCUACUUCUGAAUAUGGUGCAAAUGUAUGCUCAGAUAUGUCACCUUCAUGUGUAGAAGCAAGGGGGGGGGGGGGGCGCGCUAAUAGCAUUUCAAUCUGUGAUGUCACUCGCUCUGAGACAAAGUCCCCUUGGCUUGAAGUAGUUGUUCCCCGCGGGUUUUGUAGAGCGAUGGGUAAUGAUGCUUCAAGGGUGGCUGUUGUUUAUGUGUGCAGAGGUUAGUUCGAGCCCAGGUAGGGGCGAGGAGAGGGACGGAAGCUAAACUGUUACAUAAGGAGAUGGAGAAAACACCAGUCUCUGGAUUACAUCUUCAAUCUAAGGAAAACCAUGGAAUCUGUGACAGGGAAAAGCGUCCAUUCCGUGUGUCCCUUUGGAAAACCAUGGAUAAUCUACACUCCAACAGACCCUACAGUUAGAGAAUGAAGGAAGAGAUCCGAAAGGCUGGCGUGUUGUUGGUGUUGUCCCAGUGCAGGCAGGCUCCUCAGAGAGGGGACAGGAGACUGACCCUGUCGACCGUGACCCUGCCGCAGGCCCUGCCCCAGACCGUGAACGCUCUCCCCGUUGAGGUUGUUGUCGCUAGCGGAGCGCAGAAGGGAGCGGGGCGAGGGCAGUCCUCCCACCAACACACGUCUACGGUUAGUAUCCUGCUUCUCAACACAAGUGUUCCGUAAAACAAGGCUCCCAUAGGAAACUGCCAUUCUCAUGGGGGAGAACAGAACCCUGCUGAAACCUGCUGUCUCAGUCUCUGCGUCUGUCUGGAAUAAAUCUUAGCCUCUGUUGUUUCAAGAAAAUACAUGUUGGGAACCAAUUAUCAGAUGUAUGCUACAUCUACUCUAACAGCUAACAGGCAACAGGGGAACACAUUCCAUCCACAUCUCCCUCCCUCCCUACUGUGCUCUCUCUCUCCCUACUGCACUCUCUCUCCACUACUGCGCCCUCUCUCUCGCUCUCUCUCUCUUAUUGGCCACUACUGCUCCCUCUCUCUCGCUCUCUCUCAUUGGCCACUACUCUCUCUCGCUCUCUCACAGAUACAACAAAACUAGCAUUUCAAACAAAAUUAACAAAAUUAUAUUGUAAUUUGUUAUCCUUUUGUUUGCUUUCUCUCUCUCUCUCUCUCUGAUUCAUAUUUCACACAUUAGUAAUCCUUCAUUAAAAGGCUGCUUGUAACAGAUGUCUGAUAGCAGUGUGUGUUUCUGAUUUCUG